CUUGUUUUUUGGAAGCUGGCAGUUAUGAAGCCACUCUUUUGGUGUUCAGGUUUUACAACAUCUCACUCUCACCUUAAGAAGGAGAAGAAUCUUUUUUUAGGAAUUUUUUUUAAUUCUAUUACCAAGUCAUUACUUCUUGGUUUCUGCCAUGAUUAACACUAUUGUAUUUUACUUUUUGGUUUAAUAGAUUUUGAUGUAUUAUUUAAUAUAGAAAAGAGUAUAUGAAAUACAUAUUCGGUUUCUUUACCUGACAAAAACUAUUGCUUUCUUUUCGCAAUUUAUUUGAUGGAUCCGUCACUCCUUGCAAUUUUUAUUCUGCUACCUCCACUAAUUUAUUCUGCAAUUUUCCAUUAAUUUACACCUUGAUUGAUUGAUUUGGUUUUUGCAGGUUGUGUGGCUCAUCUUCAAGAAUUUAGUCCACUCAAGUACAUAUACAAGGUAUGUUGCCAAUCAACACAAUUCUUACAUACCUUCUUUUUUUUAUAUGUGUUGGUGCAAAUAAAGGCAUUCAAAUGAUCAUGACGAUGCAAUGACAAGGGACAAGGAAAUGCCUACAUGGCUCAAUUUGAGGUAAAUAAAAACAAUUGUUCUACAAAUACUCUCUUGCUAAUAAUAUAUAGUUGCAUCUUGAAAACAUUCAGCACAGGCCCGAUUAGAUAAUGUCCUUGUAUGCUUCUGUUAGGUGCUUGCUAGCAAACAAAUAAAUAUUACCUAUUUACAUUCCAUAGUCUAUUAUAUAUAUGUUCCACCCUUGUUUCAUAUGACUACGAACAAAACUAUUCAUAUACACAGCUACAACACAUCCAAAAAAAUAAAAAGAGCAAAAACCAAAGGCGCACCAAGGCAUAGGUAUGACUAGAAAGCCUGGGGCGCGGCGUUGCCGCGCCACCCUUGAGAUACCAGUGGUGACCAAUGUUUAUACCAAUAUUGAUGAUGUGCUGGGUUCACGAGCUUCACAAUUUUAGUCAGUUUAGAUCAUGGAAUCUGUUAGCAAGUGUGAAAGAGAGAGAGCCUAACAAAGCAGCGGCAGUAUUCAUAGUUGUCGCGCAUGUGGAAGAAUGCAAUGCGUCUGCCUGUAAGUAAGCUGAUUGUAUACAUCUUCUUAUACAUAAGUUAAUAGAACAGAUAGUGAUGGACUAAGUAAGAAAACAGAUAGUUGCUUUUCCAUUUUACAUCAGAGAAAUUCAUAAUGGAAACAUUCAUUUAUGCUUUUUUUUUUGGUGAUCUGCUCGCAAGUAUCCUUCAUCCUAGAGCAGCAGGAGGGUGUGGAGCACUACCUGCCAUGGCUAUGCCGCACACUAUGGAGGAGGACGAAGGGUGGCACCUUAACCAGCUCCAGCCUCCAGAAGCUUAUCAGAAGCAAUCAAGCUACCAGCAGAACAAACUUCUUCCAGUUCAAUCCAAACAAAAACUUGCUCCGGGCUUUUAUUACAAAAAAAAGGCAAGAUCAAGACACACCCUAGAACACCCAAAAAAAACUUAAUAUAGGUAAGCAUCAGCCAUAUUUCCUUAUAUAUUUCAGGAACCGGCAAGACGCAGGGACUUCAAAGUCAAGUUCAUCAGCACCAAAAAAAUUGUUAGGCUGUACUUUCUAGCAAUAUGUAACCAUGUAUUCCAAUUAACUACGUUUGUAUUACACAAAAAAAUAGCAUUCGCUGCUUCAAUGCCUGUGGCAAACAUAUACAUGUUAUGAUUUACCAAUCUUGAGAGAAGCCAAGCCUACAUAGGGGGUAUCUGCAAAGCAGGGCACACUACUUCCAAUAUAAUGCAAGAAAGGAUUUACUCCCAGUCUUCAUUACAAACAAGACCAAAGAAAAACCAUACUGCUUAGAGCACUAACUAAGUCAGAAUGAAAAUAGGUUGCCGCCAUCUGAACCUACCUCAAUACUUUGCAAGCUGACAUCAAUUUAUUGCUAUUUCAAAUUAAAUUGCAAUUAUUGCAGGUUAGGAACAACACAGCUAUCCUAGGGACUACACAUCCAGCACCGCCUAUCCCUUAGGUGUGAUAAUGGGUAUUGCUGUUUGAAUAGAAUUCAAUGAAAUCAUAAUUGAUUUCAGAUAAAUAACUCCUAAAGAGUCGUUUAUGUUGAGGUCGGUAUUGUGACAGGGGUAAAUAUCCGUUUGUGGAGAGAUCACAUUAACAGUUUGACACUAUGAUAUGCUAAAGAAGUAAAGAAUGGAGAGGUAUCAGACCAAGAAGAGGUUUGUACUGACCCCGGCUCUCUAGUAAAGUCUCAAGCUAUGCCAGAAAAUAUGAUAGGCAGUAGCGCUUCUGUACUAAUAUGUAGUUAUGUAUUAUACAUGAGAAAUGAUUGUGUUGUAUCAAUUAUCAUAUACCUACCAACA